CAUUGACCUUUUAUACACACACACUAAUUACAAGCAAACAGAUCACAGCAUCGUACAUAAGCUUUCUGUGGUUUCAGACUCCCAUUGAGUUCUAUGGCAUCCGCGCCCUCAAGGGUGGCAGAUUGAAAACUAGAUCACCAAAAGGCAUUA